rnacentral:lncRNA from 1 species
CAGCCUACGAGCUGGGGGCGGAGAUUCUUCUUGCUCUGUUGCGGGGUGCUGCGGCAGGACUUUCGGGGUGCCGCAGAGGAAGAAAACGGAGAGGGACGUGCGCGGGCGGGUGUGGCAGCAACAGGAGACCGAUUCAGCAGCUGAUGCGGGCUGGCCACAUUGCUAUCAGUUGCAUUGUGCCAUAGGAGUAAUAUCCACUUGGACAAUCGUCUUCUUCAUUUGAUUUCCUUGGAGAGUAGGUCAGAUUUUUCCACCACUGCUGGGUCAAGGUUGGAGUCACUGGAAGAGGAAGGAGGUGAAUCUAGAAGAGGUGCAGAGUUUGAAGUAGGUUUGUUGUUUAAACAAAAAAAACAACAUGUGUCAGAAAUUUGGACUGGAUAGAUCAAUGGA